ACAAUAUUAUAGUGCUAUAACAUUAAACUCAUGACUUCUUGCUCUGAUAUUAUUUAUUAGAUCAUUGGUAUUAACCAUUAAUUUUAAAAGUUCGAAUUGUUAAAAAUGCGCAACUAAUUUACUUAUAGUAUACAGAUACAACGUACAUAAAUCUCUAUUGUAAUUCAGCCCAACUAAUCACACACCACUUCAAACAUGACUUGACCCAAUCUAACCUCCCGCCAUUUCGAGCAUAACUUAGUCCAAUCUAACCUCUUGCUUCAAAUUAAUAAAAAUAAU
rnacentral:lncRNA from 1 species